UGGUGGGUUGCCUUGUCAGGUUGAUUCCGGUAACGAACGAGACCUCAGCCUGCUAAAUAGUCACGGCUGCCCUCGGCAGCUGGCCGACUUCUUAGAGGGACUAUUGUCGUUUAGGCAAUGGAAGUAUGAGGCAAUAACA
rnacentral:rRNA from 1 species